rnacentral:rRNA from 1 species
GAUGAACGCUGGCGGCGUGCCUAAUACAUGCAAGUCGAGCGAACGGACGAUAAGCUUGCUUCUCUGAUGUUAGCGGCGGACGGGUGAGUAACACGUGGAUAACCUACCUAUAAUACUGGGAUAACUUCGGGAAACCGGUUCUACUACCGGCUAAUAUUUUGAACCGCAUUUUUCAUAAGUGUAAGUCUGUCUUUCUGUCACUUAUAGAUUGUUCCGCGCUGCAUUAGCUAGUUGGUAAGGUAACGGCUUACCAAGGCAACGAUGCAUAGCCGACCUGAGAGGGUGAUCGGCCAAACGGGAACUGAGACACGGAAAAGAGUACUACGGGAGGCAGCAGUAGGGAAUCGUCCGCAAAGGGCGAAAGCAUGACGGAGCAACGCCGCGUGAGUGAUGAAGGUCUUAGGAUCGUAAAACUCUGUUAUUAGGGAAGAACAAAUGUGUAAGAAAAUGUGCACAUAGUGAAGGUAACUAAUAAGAAAGAAACGGCUAAAUACGUG